AGGGUGUUUCGCUGUGGCGGCUGCCUCUUCCCUCAGGUGCCUCAAAGGAACAAAGCGAGAAUGAGGGAAUAAGAAGCAAGGCUGCUACUUUCAGGAAAGAGUCCUUCUCUCAAACCGUGCCAUGUGAGAUAGGAACUUCUCCAUCCGCCUGUGGGUUCCAUGCCAUCAACUUUCAGCAGAACUUCCGCUGCAAUAUUCAAGGGAAGUGGGAUAUGUGAGGGCACGGGGUGGGAAGUUACCUUAGGGCUAAUUUUUAAAUCCUUUUUGUAUCCAAUAUGAAAUGCACCAUUUGCUAUUUUAGGGAUAUCAGAAUUACUUCUGUGCCCUGUGUUUUGAUGUCUAGAGAGAACCAUCCAGUUGAUCAAGGAUGACUAUAGGUUUAGUCUUGGAAGCAUCUUGACUGAUUCUCAAACAUCUGCUGGAAGUCGCUCAUAGAAGUUCCCACCAUGGCGCAUCAGGAUCAGUGGCAUCUUGGGGGCACUGGGUCACAGGUUUGAUCCCAGGCCUGGCACAGUGGGUUGAGGAUCUGGCGUUGCCACAGCUGCGGCUUAAGUCCUGACUAUGGGUUGGAUCUGAUUCCUGGCCCGGGAACUCCAUGUGCUGCAGGGUGGCCAAAAAUGGGAAAAGAAGAAGAAGAAGCAACUGCCUAUAAACUAAUUUUUCUGUUUUUUCUUGUUUUUCUGUUUUUUGUUUUUGUUUUUGUUUUGUUUUGUUUUGUUUUCCUGUUUAUUAAAGGCUCCCUCCUAAAAAGUAAUACUGGUUGUAUCCCCCCUAAAAAUAAUACGGGUUGUAUCUUGUCAGAGCAAAGAACAGUAAACAAGUCAGGGAUGCAUUUCUUCAAGGUUUAAAGAAAAAAAAAGAACAGACCAGCACGUACACAGCGAGUCAGAGUGGCCGUGGUCCCUGGGAAGGUGUCUUCUCAUCAGACUCCCAGCUGAGUGUCCCAGGAAGAGGGGCGUUUAAUCUCUACUUUUGACAUGAACAUUCCUUACUUCUGGUCAGUGUGCCCUUUUCUCUAGCAAUGAAAGCAGGUGUACAGUGCAUGUUUGCUAGGCCACAAACAGACUGCUUUAGUUGGCAUGAAGUCCAGGUUACCUCAUGUAUAAGCCAGGGUGACGUCCGCAGAUCUCCGCGUGUGAACAUGUCUUUUCUGAGUUGCAGGUGUCUGUUUUCAUUUCAUUUGGUAUUGGUUUGCAGAGAAAGAGGAGGUAAGAUAAAAGAGAUAGCAUUCCGUGAUUGGAUAUUUUGUUCUUGGCUGCAGCCACAGCAUGCAAAAGUUCCCAGGCUAGGGAUCGAACUCGUGCUGCAGCAGUGACCUGAGCCACAGCAGUAGAGACCUCCAGGCCCGUAAUCCCCUGAACCACCAGUGGACUCCCUGUGAUUGGAUAGUUUUUAAAAUUAGGAUUUUCAAAUAUGUCCAUUAGUGGAACAGUUCCUUCUGUCUUAAAAAGUCGGUGAAUAGAGAAAACGUGGGAAGUUCUUGCUUCUCCUUCAAGGCUCAAUCUUACAGUUUAUUUCUCAGGAAAACCUCUGGCCUUCCCGGUCCAGACAGGCCUAGCCGUCCUCAGCCCUCUGCAUUUGGCCUCAGCCCCUUAGGAUUAAUGGAAUAAGCCGUGUGUCUUGUGUAUCCGUGUUUUAUCACUACAGUAUGUCGUACGUUGUGUGUGGGGGAAGCAGAACAGACAACUUCACACUCGAGUGUGUAUCUUCCCUUCAGACUCCUUCCUUUGGUAGUUGUCGUGGGUCCUUUCCUUCCAAGCUUUCUGAAUAACUUUUACCUGUUCAAGUUCUUUCAAUCUUCCCAAUGGAUAAUCUUUUCAAACAAUCUGCAAACAAUAAAAAAUACUUUGGUGCCAAGAAGAGUAAAUAAAACAGAUACCCAGAGUGAGGGAUGUGGGAUUUGGUUUCCUAAAAAAAUAGUUGUCCUAAAAGUAAGGAAACUGAUUGUGUCCGGGUGUGUGUCAUCAGUGUGGGGUCCCUCUGGGAAUUACCUGUGGAGCAGAAGUGCGCUCAGCCAUGGCACGGCUGCUGAAAUAAAUGACGAGGUAAUUUUAGGGAAGGCAUAUUCUCUCUCUCUCUCUUUUUUUUUUAAAUCAGCACCCACGGCAUAUGGAGGUUCCCAGGCUAGGGGUCGCAUUGGAGCUGUAGCCGCUGGUCUACACCACAGCUCACAGCAAUGCCGGAUCCUUAACCCACUGAGCAAAGCCAGGGAUCGAACCCGCAACUCAUGGUUCCUAGUCGGAUUCGUUAACCACUGAGCCACGACGGGAACUCCCUAUAUUUUUGAUGUAUAGAAAACAGCGACAAGAGUAGCCCUCCAAACUCUGAACUGAUUUUUAAACAGUUUCUGUGUGCACAGGUGAAGCCACAAAGAUUGUGGUCAGAGCCAGAGCGCCCAGUCCCUCCAUGUCUCUUAAGAUGAUCUGGAGUUUUUGUGUUCUGCUUCCAAGGGCUUAGAGACUGCAGUUUAUGUGGAGAAUUUUGUGCAACUUUCUGUUUGUUACAGCGUUAUCAUCUUGCUUCUUAUUGGCUGUACAGAUAGAGUCAAUGCCUUCCUAAGGGGCGUUUCUCUUAAGAUAGGCCCUCUGCAUACUUGUCUCCUGUUACGGUCGUGAAUGGCUUUAAAGAGGGCCGGGAUGGUCUGGUUUGUCAAAAGAUGGCUUACAUCUGUCCUUUUCUGUGUUUUUAUUGUUUUCGAUAAUGGAGCCACAAGCAGACCUGAGGAGAAAAAUAACUUUGGAGUUCCUGUUGUGCAUCAGUGGGUUACGAGCCUGACAUAGUGUCGGCGAGGAUGAGAGUCUGAUCCCUGGCCUUGUUCAGUGGGUUAAGGAUGUGGCGUUGCUGUGAGUUUCGGCAUAGAUCACAGAUGCAACUUGGAUCCUGCAUUGCUGGGGCUGUGGCGUAGGCCUGCAGCUACAGCGCCCAUUCAACCCCUAGCUUGGGUACUUCUCUAAGCUGCAGGAGCAGCCCUAAAAAGAAGCAAACAAAAAAAAAAAACAAACAAAAAAAA
rnacentral:lncRNA from 1 species